rnacentral:misc_RNA from 1 species
GAGUCUGGAGGCGAGGGAGGGUAGAAAUUUUCCCAGUUCCAAACGGAGGAAGCUUGUGAUGCUGUGCUCGAGUACGUUGAAUUCGCUUGAUAAGCCGUAGGAUACUCAAAAUUUCCAGUGAAAUUGGAUUUCUGACUUCGAGGAUCGAGGAGACGAGGGAAGGCUCGAUUCGGAGAGUAUAUGAGGGAGCUUUGGAGGUUUACGGCGGCGAUUAGAAGCAGAGUUAAGGCUUGAAGCGGAGAGGAUAUGGGGCAUUUUAGAACUAGCAAUUGUGGGAGAAGGAGAAGGGGAAAACGCAGGUGGCGGUGGAUGUGGUUGGAGGGAAGGUGAUGGAAAAGGAGCAACACGUGGAGGUAUAGAAUCGGUAGACGAUGGAGUAGGGUUUGAAGAGUGUAGGAAAACAGCAGGAGUUUGCUCGGAAACGGAAAGUGUUUCGCCAGCAGCGAAGGAGCAAAGAGCUGAGCCAGUAACACGAAGAGCGCGGCAGUAAUCGGCGUGAGCAGCUGCGAGGUGGUGGCGCGCAUAGACAGCUUCCUUGAUGAGGCGGCGGCGCUCCUUGCACCGCCUCACCGUGUCCUCGUUGUCGAGCUUCGAAGCUGUACAACCCNNNNNNNNNNAAAAAAAACAAAAGCGGUGUUUAGGGCUGGAGUGGAUGGCGCGUUUUUAGGUGGUGGCGCC